rnacentral:lncRNA from 1 species
GGAAGCCCGGAAGACACCCCCAAGAAAAUUUUGGGGGGGGGCUAAUGGGGUGGUCCGGAAGGGCAGAGGAGGAGCCCAGACCACUGCUCUCGUGGGGGAUGACGGCGGAGGAAGAGAGGAAGAUGAUGAGGCAGUUGAUUGAGGACCUGCAGAGGGAUGAUCUGGAGGAGCCUUGGUAUGCGGAGUUGCGCGCUGUGUCGCCAGUGCGUCCGCACAGCCCGGUGAGUCCGGUGGACAUGCCCAGCACAUGCCGUGCUAGGAAGGGCAUCCAGCCAGGACGAGUGGCAAAACCGGCUCCACGCUUCAGUUCACCAGUGCGUGUUCACAGUCCUGUCUGGCCCGUCCCUGCUCCCCGCACCAAGUCCACAGUGCAUGUCCCCAGUCCUGUCCGGUCCGUCCCUGCUCCCCGCACCAGGCCCAAGGUGCGUGUCCACAGUCCUGUCCGGCCCGUCCCUGCUCCCCGCACCAAGCCCAAGGUGCGGGUCCCCAGCCCUGCCAGUCAACAGUCGUCAGAGCUGCCCGCCAGUCAACCAUCACCAGAGCUGCCCGCCAGUCAACAGUCGUCAGAGCUGCCCGCCAGUCAACAGUCGUCAGAGCUGCCCGCCAGUCAACAGUCGUCAGAGCUGCCCGCCAGUCAACAGUCGUCAGAGCUGCCCGCCAGUCAACAGUCGUCAGAGCUGCCCGCCAGUCAACAGUCGUCAGAGCUGCCCGCCAGUCAACAGUCGCCGGAGAGGUCAGACUGCGCUGAACUGCCGGAGUGGCCAGACUGCGCUGAACUGCCGGAGUGGCCAGACUGCGCUGAACUGCCGGAGUGGCCAGACUGCGCUGAACUGCCGGAGUGGCCAGACUGCGCUGACCUGCCGGAGUGGCCAGACUGCGCUGACCUGCCGGAGUGGCCAGACUGCGCUGACCUGCCGGAGUGGCCAGACUGCGCUGACCUGCCGGAGUGGCCAGACUGCCCUGACCUGCCGGAGUGGCCAGACUGCCCUGACCUGCCGGAGUGGCCAGACUGCCCUGACCUGCCGGAGUGGCCAGACUGCCCCGAACUGCCGGAGUGGCCAGACUGCCCCGAACUGCCGGAGUGGCCAGACUGCCCCGAACUGCCGG